UCAAAAGUGAAAGACGGUCUUGCUGUCACUUAUAGAUGGAUCCGCGCUGCAUUAGCUAGUUGGUAAGGUAACGGCUUACCAAGGCAACGAUGCAUAGCCGACCUGAGAGGGUGAUCGGCCACACUGGAACUGAGACACGGUCCAGACUCCUACGGGAGGCAGCAGUAGGGAAUCUUCCGCAAUGGGCGAAAGCCUGACGGAGCAACGCCGCGUGAGUGAUGAAGGUCUUCGGAUCGUAAAACUCUGUUAUUAGGGAAGAACAUAUGUGUAAGUAACUGUGCACAUCUUGACGGUACCUAAUCAGAAAGCCACGGCUAACUACGUGCCAGCAGCCGCGGUAAUACGUAGGUGGCAAGCGUUAUCCGGAAUUAUUGGGCGUAAAGCGCGCGUAGGCGGUUUUUUAAGUCUGAUGUGAAAGCCCACGGCUCAACCGUGGAGGGUCAUUGGAAACUGGAAAACUUGAGUGCAGAAGAGGAAAGUGGAAUUCCAUGUGUAGCGGUGAAAUGCGCAGAGAUAUGGAGGAACACCAGUGGCGAAGGCGACUUUCUGGUCUGUAACUGACGCUGAUGUGCGAAAGCGUGGGGAUCAAACAGGAUUAGAUACCCUGGUAGUCCACGCCGUAAACGAUGAGUGCUAAGUGUUAGGGGGUUUCCGCCCCUUAGUGCUGCAGCUAACGCAUUAAGCACUCCGCCUGGGGAGUACGACCGCAAGGUUGAAACUCAAAGGAAUUGACGGGGACCCGCACAAGCGGUGGAGCAUGUGGUUUAAUUCGAAGCAACGCGAAGAACCUUACCAAAUCUUGACAUCCUUUGACAACUCUAGAGAUAGAGCCUUCCCCUUCGGGGGACAAAGUGACAGGUGGUGCAUGGUUGUCGUCAGCUCGUGUCGUGAGAUGUUGGGUUAAGUCCCGCAACGAGCGCAACCCUUAAGCUUAGUUGCCAUCAUUAAGUUGGGCACUCUAAGUUGACUGCCGGUGACAAACCGGAGGAAGGUGGGGAUGACGUCAAAUCAUCAUGCCCCUUAUGAUUUGGGCUACACACGUGCUACAAUGGACAAUACAAAGGGCAGCGAAACCGCGAGGUCAAGCAAAUCCCAUAAAGUUGUUCUCAGUUCGGAUUGUAGUCUGCAACUCGACUACAUGAAGCUGGAAUCGCUAGUAAUCGUAGAUCAGCAUGCUACGGUGAAUACGUUCCCGGGUCUUGUACACACCGCCCGUCACACCACGAGAGUUUGUAACACCCGAAGCCGGUGGAGUAACCUUUUAGGAGCUAGCCGUCGAAGGUGGGACAAAUGAUUGGGGUGAAGUCGUAACAAGGUAGCCGUAUCGGAAGGUGCGGCUGGAUCACCUCCUUUCU
rnacentral:rRNA from 1 species